rnacentral:rRNA from 1 species
CCUACGGGUGGCUGCAGUGAGGAAUAUUGGUCAAUGGGCGGGAGCCUGAACCAGCCAAGCCGCGUGAGGGAAGAAGGUACAGCGUAUCGUAAACCUCUUUUGUCAGGGAACAAAGGCGGGGACUAGUCCCCGGCUGAGGGUACCUGAAGAAAAAGCAUCGGCUAACUCCGUGCCAGCAGCCGCGGUAAUACGGAGGAUGCGAGCGUUAUCCGGAUUUAUUGGGUUUAAAGGGUGCGUAGGCGGGCUUUUAAGUCAGCGGUAAAAAUUCGGGGCUCAACCCCGUCCGGCCGUUGAAACUGGGGGCCUUGAGUGGGCGAGAAGAAGGCGGAAUGCGUGGUGUAGCGGUGAAAUGCAUAGAUAUCACGCAGAACCCCGAUUGCGAAGGCAGCCUUCCGGCGCCCGACUGACGCUGAGGCACGAAAGUGCGGGGAUCGAACAGGAUUAGAUACCCCUGUAGUC